rnacentral:rRNA from 1 species
CCUACGGGUGGCAGCAGUGGGGAAUAUUGCUCAAUGGGCGCAACCCUGACCCAGCAACGCCGCGUGAAGGAAGAAGGCUUUCGGGUUGUAAACUUCUUUUCUCAGGGACGAAGCAAGUGACGGUACCUGAGGAAUAAGCCACGGCUAACUACGGGCCAGCAGCCGCGGUAAUACGUAGGUGGCAAGCGUUCUCCGGAUUUACGGGGUGUAAAGGGCGGGUAGGCGGCGCUGCAAGUCAGAUGUGAAAACCCCGGGCUUAACCUGUGGACUGCAUUUGAAACUGUAGUUCUUGAGUGCUGGAGAGGCAGGCGGAAUUCCUAGUGUAGCGGUGAAAUGCGUAGAUAUUAGGAGGAACACCAGUGGCGAAGGCGGUCUGCUGGACAGCAACUGACGCUGAGGCGCGAAAGCGUGGGGAGCAAACAGGAUUAGAUACCCGAGUAGUC